rnacentral:misc_RNA from 1 species
UCCCCGUUCUCCUGGGCAGUCUCUCCAGAGUUCCCGGCAUGAUCCGCUGGCAACUAAGGACAGGGGUUGCGCUCGUUGCGCCACUUAAGGCAACACCUCACGGCACGAGCUGACGACAGCCAUGCACCACCUGUGCAGGCUCCGAAGAGCGUCGUCUUUCAACGAUUUCACCCUGCAUGUCAAACCCAGGUAAGGUUCUUCGCGUUGCAUCGAAUUAAGCCGCAUGCUCCGCUGCUUGUGCGGGUCCCCGUCAAUUCCUUUGAGUUUUAACCUUGCGGCCGUACUCCCCAGGCGGUCAACUUCACGCGUUAGCUACGGUACCAAGGAAUCGCUUCCCCAACAACCAGUCGACAUCGUUUAGGGCGUGGACUAC